GACGAACGCUGGCGGCGUGCUUAACACAUGCAAGUCGAACGGAAAGGCCUGUCCUUCCUUGUGUUGGACGGGUACUCGAGUGGCGAACGGGUGAGUAACACGUGAGUGAUCUGCCCCCAACUUGGGUAUAAGCCUGGGAAACUGGGUCUAAUUCCCGAUAGGACUGCAGGGUGGUGCCUGUGGUGGAAAACGAUUUUCUAGUGGUUGGGGAUGAGCUCGCGGCCUAUCAGCUUGUUGGUGGGGUAAUGGCCUACCAAGGCGGCGACGGGUAGCCGGCCUGGGAGUGGGGAGGGCCACUGUGGGACGGGGUGCCGGCCCAGACCACUGCGGGGGGCGGCGGGGGGGAUUAGUGCACAGGGGGGGGAGGCCUGAGGCCGCGCCCCCGCGGGGGGAAUGCCGCCUUUGGGGUUGAAACCCCCUGUCGCCGGGGAGGAACCCGCUGGGUUGGAGGGGGGGUGACGUUGGUGGAAAAAGAACCCCCGGCUAACUACGGG
rnacentral:rRNA from 1 species